rnacentral:lncRNA from 1 species
CGUAAAACUGCCAGCUCCCUGUCUUUUGGGAUGCUCGCUCUGGGAGCCCGGUGCUGCCCUGUAAGAAGUCGGCCUGUCCCAAGGCCGCCAUGGUGCAAGGAAGCCCAAGCUAGCCGCGUGGAGCACCCCAGCUGCUCCACCAGCCCAGCCCGGGUGUGUGAGAGAGGACGUCUGGGACCCUCCAGCCCAGUCUGGUCGCCUGCUGAAUCCCACUGAGUGACCUCAGUCCGGGCCAUAUGGAGCAGAAGAAUAGUCCAGCUGAGCCCUGACCGACUUCCUGACCCACAAAAUCACCAGGUAUGCUGCCUCUGCGAGGGCGGGGCCCCUGACGUUCGCUGCCGUGUGCAUCAGGACCUGGGACGUCGUGCAUGCUUGUCCAGCUGGAACCCUGUGAAGAGUCCUGCCUUGCCCAGUCAGAAUGAUGCUUCCUGCCCGCAUCCGCCCAGGCCUCUCUUAGACGGGACGGUGGCCGGCUGUUAGUUGGGUCCUUCUCUCUCCUGGCUGCCACGUGAGAACAGAGCCAAAUCCUACCAAGAAGAAACCGCAGGGCGGUGCAGAUGCCCAGGGGGCUUCAACGGCCUGGCUCCGGAGGAACGGAUCCCAGGCUCUGUGCAAAAGGCCACCUCCUAAUUGGGCACCGGGACUUUCUGUGACAGGGGUCCCAGCCUCUCCCCGUAUCAUCCUCCCCACACCUUUCCAGGAAGGGUGAAGGAGUCAGAAUUAUGGACCCCGAAGAUGUCCACGUCUUAAUCGCUGGAGCCUGUGAGUGUGUCAUCACUUGGCAAGGGGGAAUUAAGGUCGCAGAUGGAAUUAAGGAUGCUAACGAGCAGACUCUGAAUAGGGACAUGGUCGUGGGUUAUCCCGUGGGCCCAAUGGAACCACAAGGGUCCUGGAAAACAGAAGAGAGAAGCAGAAGAGAGUCAGAGGGAAAGGCCACCACGGAAGAAUGGUCAGAGACGCAAAGUUGCUGGCUGCGAAGAUGGAGGAAGCAGGCCACAAGCCAAGGAAAGUGGGUGGUCUCCUGUAGCUGGAAAAGACAAGGAAGAGCUUCCAGAAAGGAACACAGCCCCGCCCACACCUUGAUCUUAGCCCAGCCAGACUCAUGGCAGCCUUCUAGCCUACAGAACUUAAAGAUAAUAAAUUUGUGUUGUUUAAGACUAAAUUUGCAGUAAUUUGUUACGGCUGCCAUAGCAAACGCAUACACGGAGGCCGCCACACGCUUCAUUUCCUCAAUCAGUGACAUCUGUGUAAUCACUCUCCAGACCACAGACGGGAACCAAACCACCACGACCCAAGUCUGGGCUUCGACCUGGACAGGACAGGCUGUGCUGAGCUGGGG